rnacentral:rRNA from 1 species
UACGGGGGGAGCAAGCGUUGUUCGGAUUUACUGGGCGUAAAGGGCGUCUAGGCGGAAUAAUAAGUCAGCUGUGAAAUCCCCCGGCUCAACCGGGGAGUUGCAUUUGAUACUGUUAUUCUUGAGUACAAGAGAGGAAAGCGGAAUUCCAGGUGUAGCGGUGAAAUGCGUAGAUAUCUGGAAGAACACCAGUGGCGAAGGCGGCUUUCUGGCUUGUUACUGACGCUGAAGCGCGAAAGUGUGGGGAGCAAACAGG